AUUGAACGCUAGCGGGAUGCUUUACACAUGCAAGUCGAACGGCAGCGCGGACUUCGGUCUGGCGGCGAGUGGCGAACGGGUGAGUAAUGUAACGGAACGUGCCCAGUAGCGGGGGAUAACUACGCGAAAGCGUAGCUAAUACCGCAUACGCCCUACGGGGGAAAGCAGGGGAUCGUAAGAUUUUGCACUAUCGGAGCGGCCGAUAUCGGAUUAGCUAGUUGGUGGGGUAACGGCUCACCAAGGCGACGAUCCGUAGCUGGUUUGAGAGGACGACCAGCCACACUGGGACUGAGACACGGCCCAGACUCCUACGGGAGGCAGCAGUGGGGAAUUUUGGACAAUGGGGGCAACCCUGAUCCAGCCAUCCCGCGUGUGCGAUGAAGGCCUUCGGGUUGUAAAGCACUUUUGGCAGGAAAGAAACGGCGCGGGCUAAUACCCCGUGGAACUGACGGUACCUGCAGAAUAAGCACCGGCUAACUACGUG
rnacentral:rRNA from 1 species